rnacentral:lncRNA from 1 species
UAGAAUCCUAGCACUAGAGCUUGGAGAAGAAGAAGGAGGAGCUUGAGGAGGGAUUUUUGGUGGCUUUGGUGGUCCUAGAAGCACUCCAACAAGAAGGCUUUGGUGGAGCUUGGGCAAAAGUGAGUCCUUAAGCAAAAAUGAGUCUAGGGUUUGGGUUUAGACCUUAGAUUUUUGGGUUUUGAUCUCUCUACAAGUGAGGAAACCCUCUAGAGACCUUGAAACUAUGAAAUCCAUGGUUGUCUUGGACUCCUCUCAUGGUGAACUUCUAGGGUUCAUCUUGGAUGCCCUAGAAAGGGCUUAGUUGACCUUAAAUGAGCACCUAG